rnacentral:lncRNA from 1 species
CCGCACCAUUGCCUAAAUUUGGCGCCAAGUUUUUCCACUGGUCGUGGCCAGGGCGAGAGAGAAUGCUCUCCUAGAAUCCCACACCUAAAUCCCUGGAGAAAUGAGGAAGAUGAGUCCUGCUUUCUUCCGCGAACCUGUGUCACCUCCUGACCUCCUCCGCGUGGGGUCUGAGGGGCCGCGAGCGCAAGUGGCGUGGGCUGGGAGGCCGAGCCGUGCGCAGGCACCGACCAUGGGCACCCUAGGGCCGGGGCGCUGUCCAGCCUCUGGUGCUGAAGCUGCAGGCUCGGAUUCGCUGGGGGAGGGGCUCCAGGGACCUUUAUUUAGCAGCCGGAUUCUGAGCCGACUCCAAGCGGGUAGCGACUCGAAGGAGAGGCGCUUGGUCCGCCGAGUGGAAAGGCUACACUGGGAAGUAACGGCAUUAGGUGCUCUCUUUCAGCAGAUAGGGCUCCCCCAGGGCGCAAUCCCCGGCGCCUCUGAUUCCCCUCCCUGGAGUUAUUUGCUGCAAUUGCGGUGGGUAGGAAGAAAGGCCCUUUGCACUGGGGCGAUUACCCAGUGGUCUCCUGGUACUUUUCACAUUUUUUCCUGCGGCUCUGCGCUCUCUGGGUGCUGGCCAGCCUGGCGCUCAGAUCUGGUGGCAGGCAAAGCAAAGAGGAGAGGCUUGGAACGCCGAACCCAGCUGCUCUUCUGCAUGCAACAAGUCAGCUGCAUCUAGAAUCAGGGGCGAGAAGCGCGGGAGGAGCGGCGGCGGGCUUGGGGCUGCUGGGUUGCGAGAGCCGGCUCCCGCGAGGCUGUGGGGCCGUCUUUCUCCUACUGGGCGCGGGAUCGAGAGAAACAAACUGCAAGCCGGGUUUCCGCGUCGCCCCGAGCAGGUACUGGAACCAGACGCCCCCACACCUCUAGCCCGCCCAGCAUCCCGUAGGAGCGCUCACCUGCUGGGCUCCGGAGUCGCCUUCCUUCGUCUUCAUUUUGGCAAGGGCCAUUUCCUAUUCUUCCACCACCUUACCUGGGC